UCCUAGACACACACGGAGCGUUUUCCACAACUUCUUUCCCUCUUAUUAUAAAGAUUGUAAGAUUCCUGGAUAGCCAAAUAAAAGGAAGUUGUUACGAAUGUUCAAAAAGAGUAAAAAUAAAGGAACAAUCUUCUGGACAAACUAUAGACCUCACAUAGGAGUCGUUCUAGAGAAGUUGAUGAUAUGGGGUGGAAGCAGGAUCUUUCCAAAGUAGGAAUCUCAAAGCAUUUAUCCAUUUUUGUUUUGUUUUGUUUUUUCUAACCAAUGCAGGGUUUUCAACAAAUCGACUGGUGGAGGCUUGCUUACCAAGACACGUCACACUGGACGACAGCACGACCUAUGGGAAGACAGCAGAUGGCAGAGAACAUUCAAGAAACAGUUGGCCAUUUCAAUCAAAUGCCAAUCAAAAUAUGAAUGGGCUCUUCCUCUGGGCCUGAAAUUCAACAUUUUCAUGAACACCGCCUGAUGUCAAAUACCAACCUUUCUGGAAAGAUGUACAUCCACUUCUGUACAACUCAUUUCACUCACUCAGAUGUGCCAAUACUUUUUCACCUCUAUCAUCUAUUAGCUCAUCAAAGGCAGAGUUCACGUCAUGUUCAUCCUCACGGUGAAUGUCAAAAAGUAGAAGUAAUUGACUCAAACCUCACACUCUGAGGGCUUGUAAAACCACAUGCAUGUUUCUUGCAGCUUGUAGAGACACUUUGACAACAAAGAUGGGGUUAGAAAGGCAAUCACAAAGAAGGGCAAACCGAGAAGAGAUGUCCCAGGAGGGCUUCGCGGUGCUGGAGGUCAGCAUGGGUGGAGGCAGGUGUCUGCAAAGAUCCCACGAGGUUUGAGUUAAAGCAAAGUAGGAAAUGAAGACUUGCUGGUACAAAGUGAAGGAUGACAACGGAUUCCAGUUUUGAGCAUGUAAUAGUUGCUGAAAAAUGUCAUGUCACUCUUUAGGCACGAAUGCUUCGCAGCAGAUGUCUCUGCAGGAGAAACACCCGGCCUGGGGGCAAGGAGCCCGGAGGACGAGCUAGCAGUUGCAUGAUCAAGGCCUGCCUCUGACACUAAUUGGUUGUGGAGGCUCGAACAAGGACAUAAAUUCAGUGGCUCUCAACUCCCCUCUGAAACAAGGCCAUGUGGGCGCUGGAGGACCUCUCUGGAGCUCUCACAGGGCAUCACGCUGUAAAUCGUAGAGAGCAAGUCAGCCCCACGACACUGCUCCUCCAGAUCAGCCGUGGCCUAAACACCUUCCUGUGCGAGACCCCAGGCAGGAGAGAGGGCCCUGGCUCCAGGGCCUUCCAUGCCCAGAACUGAGACCUGUCCAGCAAGUCUCCCAGGCUCGUCGGGGUGCUGAGCCCUGUUUGAUUUCUGCGAGAAAGCAGAAGAACCUCGCCCUGAUGGCCUUUGUGCCUCAGCCCUGAUUCCACGCUCACCUUCUAGCGUUCUCCUGCCACCCGUGAGGUGAUCCUCUGCGCGGCUUGAGACUCCCCGGCUGCGUGUGGCGUCCUGCAUGACCAUGGGAAGCUUUGGGACACAUCUGGCAAGGAUGGACCCGAGAGGCCGCCAUGGUCCCCGUGUCAAGCUUAAGUGUGGAGGAGGCUUCACCUGCUGGGUUUGUGUAACUGAACCCUCAGGUGUUCACCCCGAUCAGUCCCUGCGGCCUCACUUCUCAG